rnacentral:misc_RNA from 1 species
AGCAGCCGCGGUAAUUCCAGCUCCAAUAGCGUAUAUUAAAGUUGUUGCAGUUAAAAGCUCGUAGUUGAAUUUCGGGAUCAAUACGUCGGUCGUGCUUCGGUACGUACUGGCGUAAUUGAUUUCUCCCUUCUGACGAACCAUGAUGUCAUUAACUUGGUGUCAUGGGAAAUCAGGACUGUUACUUUGAAAAAAUUAGAGUGUUUAAAGCAAGCUAACGCUUGAAUACAUUAGCAUGGAAUAAUGAAACAGGACGUUCGAUCCUAUUUUGUUGGUUUCUAGGAUUGACGUAAUGAUUAAUAGGGAUAGUUGGGGGCAUUAGUAUUCAAUUGUCAGAGGUGAAAUUCUUGGAUUUAUUGAAGACUAACUACUGCGAAAGCAUUUGCCAAGGAUGUUUUCAUUAAUCAAGAACGAAAGUUAGGGGAUCGAAGACGAUCAGAUACCGUCGUAGUCUUAACCAUAAACUAUGCCGACUAGGGAUCGGAUGAUGUUAAUUUUUUAAUGACUCAUUCGGCGCCUUACG